rnacentral:rRNA from 1 species
GACAAACGCUGGCGGCGUGCUUAACACAUGCAAGUCGAGCGAUGAUCAGGAGCUUGCUCCUGUGAUUAGUGGCGAACGGGUGAGUAACACGUGAGUAACCUGCCCCUGACUCUGGGAUAAGCGUUGGAAACGACGUCUAAUACUGGAUACGACUGCCGGCCGCAUGGUCUGGUGGUGGAAAGAUUUUUUGGUUGGGGAUGGACUCGCGGCCUAUCAGCUUGUUGGUGAGGUAAUGGCUCACCAAGGCGACGACGGGUAGCCGGCCUGAGAGGGUGACCGGCCACACUGGGACUGAGACACGGCCCAGACUCCUACGGGAGGCAGCAGUGGGGAAUAUUGCACAAUGGGCGAAAGCCUGAUGCAGCAACGCCGCGUGAGGGAUGACGGCCUUCGGGUUGUAAACCUCUUUUAGUAGGGAAGAAGCGAAAGUGACGGUACCUGCAGAAAAAGCACCGGCUAACUACGUGCCAGCCGCCGCGGUAAUAC